GUAUUCAUUUCUGGGUUGUUUACUCAACCUGGGAGAUUUGCACUGUGUCUAGCUAACGCUGGACUAGUGCUAAAUACAUUACUUGACUGGUAGUAAAUGUUUGACACUGCUAGUACUCGAAAAGCUAUGAACGAAGCGCAAGUUUCUUUAGGCCCAGUAGGUAUCGGUAGCUAGUUUAUUGCUAGGUAGAGUUCAUACCUUAUAGGCGCUAGCUUGCUAGUGAUCUGAA
rnacentral:misc_RNA from 1 species